AAUGAACGCUGGCGGCGCGCCUAAUACAUGCAAGUCGAGCGAGAAGACGUAGCAAUACGUUUGUAAAGCGGCGAACGGGUGAGGAAUACAUGGGUAACCUACCCUCGAGUGGGGAAUAACUAGCCGAAAGGUUAGCUAAUACCGCGUACGCUCCUUGGACUUCGGUUCAGGGAGGAAAGCGAUACCGUGGGUAUCGCGCUCUUGGUUGGGCUCAUGUCCUAUCAGCUUGUUGGUGAGGUAACGGCUCACCAAGGCUUCGACGGGUAGCUGGUCUGAGAGGACGAUCAGCCACACUGGCACUGCGACACGGGCCAGACUCCUACGGGAGGCAGCAGUAAGGAAUAUUGCGCAAUGGGCGAAAGCCUGACGCAGCGACGCCGCGUGGGGGAUGAAGGUCUUCGGAUUGUAAACCCCUUUCGGGAGGGAAGAUGGAACGAGCAAUCGUUCGGA
rnacentral:rRNA from 1 species